rnacentral:sRNA from 1 species
CUGUGAGGAGCUGAGCCCGGCUGGUUGAGGUGAGGAGCUGGUGGGGCCGGCAGUGAGAAGGUCGCAUAGUUGGCCCUGCAAGGCGGAUGGAGCUGCUUUCUGUUGCCCAAGAGCAUGCCAGGGGCCGGUCAGGAUCCACAGAGUUCUUUCUGCUUCAUCGCCUUGUGCUCCUGCCCCUGGGAGCUGUGGAUCCCAGAUCCAGAUGACAGCCCACCUUGCUGGCAGGAUGCGCCAGUCCCCUGGGCCUGAAGAAUAACAGCAUCCCUGACAAGCAGAUCACGGCCUCCAGCAGCUACAAGACCUGGGGCUUGCAUGUCUUCAGCUGGAACCCCUCCUACGCACGGCUGGACAAGCAGGGCAACUUCAACGCCUGGGUUGCGGGGAGCUACGGUAACGAUCAGUGGCUGCAGGUGGACCUGGGCUCCCCGAAGGAGAUGACAGGCAUCAUCACCCAGGGAGCCCGUAACUUUGGCUCUGUCCAGUUUGUGGCAUCCUACAAGGUUGCCUACAGUAAUGACAGUGCGAACUGGACUGAGUACCAGGACCCCAGGACUGGCAGCAGUAAGAUCUUCCCUGGCAACUGGGACAACCACUCCCACAAGAAGAACUUAUUUGAGACGCCCAUCCUGGCUCGCUAUGUGCGCAUCCUGCCCGUAGCCUGGCACAACCGCAUCGCCCUGCGCCUGGAGCUGCUGGGCUGUUAGUGGCCGCCUGCCACCCCCAGGUCUUCCUGCUUUCCAUGGGCCCGCUGCCUCUUGGCUUCUCAGCCCCUUUAAAUCACCAUAGGGCUGGGGACUGGGG